UACGUAGGGUGCGAGCGUUAAUCGGAAUUACUGGGCGUAAAGCGUGCGCAGGCGGUUUUGUAAGCCAGAUGUGAAAGCCCCGGGCUUAACCUGGGAAUGGCAUUUGGGACUGCAAGGCUUGAGUGCGGCAGAGGAGACUGGAAUUCCUGGUGUAGCAGUGAAAUGCGUAGAGAUCAGGAAGAACACCCGUGGCGCAAGCGACCACCUGGCCGAGACCUGACGCUGAGGCACGAGAGCGUGGGGAGCGAACCGG
rnacentral:rRNA from 1 species